GAAGUUGGGGUAUGGAAGAUUCUUCGGAGAUGUUGUUCCAGUAAAUUCUAGUCUGACUUACUGGCUUGUUAAAUUAUAAAUUCUGUUAAGGCAUAUUUUCCUCCACUUUCAACUCCAGCGAGUGUUCCCUAUAUAAAAUGCUCAGAUUACACACAAGUGAGCACUAAAGUGGAGACGGCGGGAAGAGGGUAGAUAAGGGUUAGGCGUCCCAUCCAGAAAAUUCCUAGAGCCAUGAACCUUAGGGGCGCACAAUUAGCGGGCUUCCCGGGAAGGUUAUACAUCAUGUGCAGGACUUUACAUUAAAAUGACUUUUUACUUGAGUCAUUUGUUAGUCCAUUACCAGUUCUCAUAUCAGAUUGCAUUUCAUCUUGUAUUAAAUCAAGGUAAUCUGGCACAGAAAAAUAGGCUCCUUCAUUUCACUUCCAACUCUGGGCAAGACUGGAGAUUCCAUGGCAUUUUGCCUCACCCUCCUCCACGAGGCAUGCAGAAGCCCAGCCUUUGGCCGAAGGCACUCAAUGCUGACUGAAUCCCAGAUUCUCCCACAAAGACGAGCCAUGCGCAAAACAAGACCGAACCCUGGGUUAAAAUACUGAUUUUUCUCUUUAGGGUUCCACUCAUUCUCUUCCAACUCCAGUCCUAAAAGGAUCUGAAAUUGAGUGACUCCCUUUGCUCAUCCUGCAAUCAUGACAGACCCCCAGAGCAGAAGAGAGGGAGACCCAGAACUCAUUACAAAGGAGCAAAGGAAACAUGCAUGAAAAAGCCAUGUCCUUAUACUUUGAGGCCAAUGGGAUCUUCCUUAUAUGAUGACUAGGUCCAUUUCCAAGCAGCGUAUCCUUUUAUGGGGGCGCAGGGGAGGGCUGGUUAAUUACCAAGACUUCACUGGUAGGAAAAUUGAGCUUCCACAUAAUUCACUCUAUUUAUUGCACAAAGGUCCUGUUAGGUUCUUUUGUGCCACCCGGGACAGGAACGGCUGCAGUGUCGGAGUGAAAUCCUGCCCUCCACAGGCCAGGACCACAUGUGUCACAUCAAUUAUGUACCUAAUGCUCUUCCCUGGGCCCCCCUGUGUUUCCAAACGCUUAAUGCACCUAUGAGUAAAUGAUUUCUUUCCACUACUUCUUAAAGUGCCAGAAGGCAAGAGAAAUUUAAACAGACCUAAGAUCAACAUUGUGAGUUUACUUGGCCUCCCCAUCUAGCAACACUGCCAUAAAUUUCUUCGGCUUCUUAGUUGGGAAUUUAAAAGGCCUAUAGUCUUGGCAAGGUUUAUAUAACAAUGUUUCUUCUAUAUGGAUUAUAAACUCGCAAGAUCCCAAGCAAUGGUGGGGUAUCAUAUUUGGUCAGUGGGUCAACCUGAGAAGCCCACAGAAAAACUCAAUACCAUGUUCAGCAAAACACUGUUUUCCGGAUUUCUCCUGGUGGGUAGAAACAGCUCCAUCGCUGACAGGGUGAGGAGCUGGAUCUGUGGCCUUUUUUUCGUCCUUUGGGGCUUUGUGAUGGAAGAGGCCUGACUUCUGUGGCCCUUGCAGAGCCAGGGGCCUUAAGCAAUGCGCCAGCUGGCAGAGCCCUGGAAGAAUGUUCCAGAGGGACAGUAUAAGCUCCAGCUUUGUGAAGCUCCCUCAAACAGCCAUUCCUCAGAGUGCAGGAAUGUGCAGAGAGCAGGAGUCGGUAGUGGUUGGUGCUGAGGGUGGCGCUGGGAGGCCUGGGGUUCAUCAACCAGGGGAGCAUGCUUGAUCCUAGCAGAGGAGCCUUUGUGAUAAGGGGGUUCCUCUUCUUCUCUGCCUGACUAUGUUUUCCUCCUCAGUAUGACCUGCUGUGGAGUUAUAGGUGCCUCUUUGCCCAGGUGCGUGGUAGUUGGCAUGGAACGUGCUUGCAGAGGACCAGUGGGUGGAUCUGGUGAAUGACUUGGCUCCAAGGGGCGUGCAGGUGUCCUCCCUAAAGCCAAAGAGCAUUUCCUUGAUGACAGCUGGUCUCCUCCAAAUGCAGUUCUUCCCUCCAAACAAGUUUCAUGUUUUCUGCCUCUUAUGGGAUCACUCACUAGAACCCUGUCUUAGCAUUGAACAUGACUCCUUAGAUGCCAAGAGCUGUGUUAGGAGCCGAAGGCCAAGAGUGGUGUAAAAACUGGCUAGUAAUUGAUGAGUUCCAGUAACCAUGUAUCAGAGUGGUGUCUGCAUACAUGGACCAUCUUUAUCUUUCCCUGCUGCCAGGGGAAGUACAAAACUGUGGGACUUUACUCUGACUUUGGAGGGACAUUUCAGUUUCAGUCUUAAUUAGGAAAUCUGUGAAGAUUGUUCUCAUAUGUCUAAUUCACCAUCCAAAGUGGGCUGAAAAAGGCAUUUGCAACCAGCGAGACUGACCAGCAAGAAGAGGAGGGAAGGCUAAGAAUUUCUGAGGUUGGAGAGCAGAAGGAGGCUACCUUUGCACUUUCCCGAGACUUAUUAGAAGGAAACUAAAAUAAAAAGGUAUGGAAAUGAUGCAGAAAACCAUUUGGAAGUCGUUGGUGUAUAGCAUUUAACCAGAAUGAGGCAUACCAGGAAAGAAAUGACAGACAUUGAAAUACUGCAUGAUCACACAGGUGUUUCUGGUUUGUUCUCUCAUAAUUCAAGUCCCAGACAAUAUUCAAUUAAGUCAAAAAGCUCCCCUUGAAAAUUGAUUCAAGGAUAUACUCUUUAUGUCUAUGCAUCAUCAACCUAUGAAACUCAUCACCUGAAGGUCUUAUUUAGGUCCAAGUGAAGUAGAAAAAAUUGAGUUGGAAGCACAGUUUAGAUCAGUAAUUUCUCAACUUAAAAAAAACAAACAAACAAUACAGCUGUUUAAAAAAAUGAAAUCUUAAAUAAAAUCCCACUAGAUAAACAGAUAACAGUGGGAAUAUUUUUUUGGGGGGGCGACCAACUGGCCUUCCCCUUUGCCCUUUGAAACCCCCUUGGCUCCACAGAAAAGAGUGUGAAAAUUUGUGUUUUAGGUAAUUAUUUUAAAAAUCUAAUCAGUGUGGAAGCACUGGACCAGGUAUUCUCAAUAAACCUGUUCCCAAGGAGCCAAAGUUGGUGAAGCUUAUAGCCCCUGCAUGUCUGAAUAUGAAGCUUCUGAGUUUAGUUUUGCCAUGAAUGAUGCCCUUAGGGACAGAAUUAGUGCUGCUGGCUGCCAUCAUUUUCCACUAUCCUCCCUUGAGGAUGAAAAGCAUGGGUUAUCCAUUCUCUUGAGUCUUUCCUGUGCUGGGAAUACCUGUUAUGGUCACUCUGUAAUUCUGGAAUUUGCUGGUGUUUGGAAGUAAGCCAUCUGAAAGACAUCGGAAAGACAUAUCACAGUGUUGCCUCUUGAAAAUUUCAAUAGAGAGUUCCCGUUGUGGCUCAGCAGUAAUGAACCUGACUAUUAUCCAUGAGGACAAGGGUUUAAUCCCUGACCUCG
rnacentral:lncRNA from 1 species